UACGUAGGGGGCAAGCGUUGUCCGGAUUUAUUGGGCGUAAAGAGCGUGUAGGCGGCCAGGUAGGUCUGCUGUGAAAACUCGAGGCUCAACCUCGAGACGUCGGCGGAAACCAUCUGGCUAGAGUCCGGAAGAGGAGAGUGGAAUUCCUGGUGUAGCGGUGAAAUGCGCAGAUAUCAGGAAGAACACCCGUGGCGAAGGCGGCUCUCUGGGACGGUACUGACGCUGAGACGCGAAAGCGUGGGGAGCGAACAGG
rnacentral:rRNA from 1 species